CGUUAUUCAAUUUGAUUGGGCGUAAAGCGUCUGUCGGUGGCUUUUUGGGUCUAUUGUCAAAAUCAAUACGGUAAUUGAAAGGCAAUUGAAACUUGAAAGCUUGAAAUAUGCUACAAGUAGGGGGAAUUUCCAGUGGAGCAGUGAAAUGCAUAAAUAUUGGAAGGAACACCAACGGCAAAAGCAGCUUACUGAGCAUAUCUUGACACUUAGAGACGAAAGCUGUGGGAGCAAAUGGGAUUAGAUACCCCAGUAGUCACAGCUGUCAAUGAUGGGUACUAAUUAUCAAUACAAAACAAAAUGAUACUACAGUUAACACAUAAAGUAUCCCGCCUGAAGAGUACAGCUGCAAAGAUGAAAUUCAAAGGAAUUGACGGGGGCCCACACAAGCGGUGGAGCAUGUGAUUUAAUUCGAUGCAACGCGAAGAACCUUACCAGGGCUUGAAAUGAACCCGAAAGAAGUCAUUAAACUUUCAAAUUGUUCACAGGUGGUGCAUGGUUGUCGUAAGUUCGUGCCAUGGGGUGUCGGGUUAAGUCCUGAAACGAACGCAACCCUAUUCUUUAUUUGCCAUUAAUUGGCACUUUAAAGAAACUGCUGGUGAAAAAUCAGAGGAAGCAAAGGAUGACGUCAAGUCGGCAUGCCCUUUAUGCCCUGGGCUAUACACAUGCUACAAUGAAUGGAACAGCAGGGUAAUGCUCAACAAUGACCACCAAUGACCAUUAAAUCCAUUCACAAUUCUGAUUGAAGGCUGCAAUCUGCCUGCAUGAAGCUGGAAUCGCAAGUAAUCGCUGGUCAGCCAUACAGCGGUGAAGUGGAGCCUGGGCCUUGUACACACCGCCCGUCACAUUCCAAUAAUCCUUCACACUUUAAUACAGUAACCCCAAUAAAAAGGAUAAAACGUAUAGAGUGAGAUAGAUGAUUGGAAUGAAGUCGUAACAAGGUAGCCAUACUGGAAGGUGUGGCUG
rnacentral:rRNA from 1 species